rnacentral:rRNA from 2 species
ACGGGGUGCAGCAGGCGCGAGAACUUUGCAAUGUGCGAAAGCACGACAAGGUUAAUCCGAGUGGUUUCUGCUAAAGAAACCUUUUGUCAGUCCUAGAAACACUGAUGAAUAAGGGGUGGGCAAGUUCUGGUGUCAGCCGCCGCGGUAAAACCAGCACCUCAAGUGGUCAGGAUGAUUAUUGGGCCUAAAGCAUCCGUAGCUCGUUUUGUAAGUUUUCGGUUAAAUCCAUGCGCUUAACGUAUGGGCUGCCGGGAAUACUGCAUAACUAGGAAGUGGGAGAGGUAGACGGUACUCGGUAGGAAGGGGUAAAAUCCUUUGAUCUAUUGAUGACCACCUGUGGCGUAGGCGGUCUACCAGAACACGUUCGACGGUGAGGGAUGAAAGCUGGGGCAGCAAACCGGAUUAGAUACCCGGGUAGUCCCAGCUAUAAACUAUGCAAACUCAGUGAUGCAUUGGCUUGUGGCCAAUGCAGUGCUGCAGGGAAGCCGUUAAGUUUGCCGCCUGGGAAGUACGUACGCAAGUACGAAACUUAAAGGAAUUGGCGGGGGAGCAC